rnacentral:rRNA from 1 species
UACGUAGGGGGCAAGCGUUAUCCGGAUUUACUGGGUGUAAAGGGAGCGUAGACGGCACUGCAAGUCUGGAGUGAAAGCCCGAGGCCCAACCACGGGACUGCUCUGGAAACUGCGGGGCUGGAGUGCAGGAGGGGUAAGCGGAAUUCCUAGUGCAGCGGUGAAAUGCGUAGAUAUUAGGAGGAACACCGGUGGCGAAGGCGGCUUACUGGACUGUAACUGACGUUGAGGCUCGAAGGCGUGGGGAGCAAACAGG